UACAGAGGGGGCAAGCGUUGUUCGGAAUUACUGGGCGUAAAGGGCUCGUAGGUGGCCAACUAAGUCAGACGUGAAAUCCCCAGGCUCAACUUGGGAACUGCGUCUGAUACUGGAUGGCUUGAAUUCGGGAGAGGGAUGCAGAAUUCCAGGUGUAGCGGUGAAAUGCGUAGAUAUCUGGAGGAAUACCGGUGGCGAAGGCGGCAUCCUGGACCGAGAUUGACACUGAGGAGCGAAAGCUAGGGGAGCAAACGGG
rnacentral:rRNA from 1 species